UGCACAGUGGUGCAGUUGGUAGCACUGUUGCCAUGCAGCAAUGUCCCGGGUUCGACUCCCGGCCGGGGAGUUUGCAU